GACGAACGCUGGCGGCGUGCCUAACACAUGCAAGUCGAGCGGACAGAAGGGAGCUUGCUCCCGGAAGUUAGCGGCGGACGGGUGAGUAACACGUGGGCAACCUACCCUGUAGAUCGGGAUAACAUCGAGAAAUCGGUGCUAAUACCGGAUAAUCAUUUGGAGUGCAUGCUUCGAAUGUAAAAGAUGGCUCCGGCUAUCACUACGGGAUGGGCCCGCGGCGCAUUAGCUAGUUGGUAAGGUAAUGGCUUACCAAGGCAACGAUGCGUAGCCGACCUGAGAGGGUGAUCGGCCACACUGGGACUGAGACACGGCCCAGACUCCUACGGGAGGCAGCAGUAGGGAAUCUUCCGCAAUGGACGAAAGUCUGACGGAGCAACGCCGCGUGAGUGAUGAAGGUUUUCGGAUCGUAAAGCUCUGUUGUUAGGGAAGAACAAGUGCCGUUUGAAUAAGGCGGCACCUUGACGGUACCUAACCAGAAAGCCACGGCUAACUACGUGCCAGCCGCCGCGGUAACAC
rnacentral:rRNA from 1 species